ensembl:piRNA 21ur-3422 ncRNA
UCGAUUUCGCAAAACAUCGGA